rnacentral:rRNA from 1 species
GGGCUUCUCUAGCUACGCAUGCAUGCCUUCGAAUAGAAGAGAAGUCUCUCUGAAUCUGCGUACGGCUCCGCAUACCAGUUGUAAACCAUAUCUAGCACGCCUCGGAGAGGACCCCUAGGUAGUGGCUGGGGCCAAAAGGAUAUCCUGGGGAUUUUUAAGACUAUUACAUAACUGUACCCCCCGUGUGACCGGGCAACUGGUAGGCUGGGGGACGUGUACGGCUUCCCACACCAUUAUGGAAUGAAUGCACGUUUCACCGCUUUUCCCACACAUAGGGGGUAAUCCUUCCUUAGAUAACCCCUGCCUGAGCGCCUCUAGGCUCUGCUUCUGACCUAUCAACUAGAUGGCAGCGUAACGGACAUGCUAUGGGGACAACGGGUACCGAGGAAAAAGGUUCGAGGUUGGA